UUGCUAAUUGCAUCAACCAUCUUGUAAAACGGAAAUAAUUAUUGCGCCAUCGAUUAUUUAUAAUGAGCCCCUGAAAAGCCACGAGUAUCCAGAAACGGGUGAUAAAUGCAUGCAUGAGGAAAGGAAUUCGACGAUAAGUCUGGAGGGAUGAGGAAUACAAGGUAACACCUAAAUCGGGGAUUCCCAUUAAAUUUAAUCUGCACCAGUGGAUCAAAAUAUCAGCGCAGAGUCCUAUUCGAUUUGUAUAAAAAUAUACAAAUUAUCUUAAAAAAUUCUGCAACGUAAUCACCGCACAAGUUAUUGAAAGAAAACGCUCAGUUAUACCCAGAUUUAUUUCACACCUCUGUCCUGCCACACGUCAGCGUUUCACCAGAAAUUUAUUUAAUCAUGUACAAUAACACUUCAUGGUUCAUCAACUCAAGACGAAUUUGUUGAUUUUAGGGCAAGAUGUUCCCCCUGCGAGUGCCUAUCACCAUAAUUUAUCAAUGUUCAACAAAAUAAGGGACACUUAUCACCUCGAAACGAUUGUAAUUGAACAAAUACAUCAUUACUUUUCACUCGAUAGAUGCAAUGAUAAAUUUUCAUGCCCCAAUGAAAAAUAAAACCUGGAUAUUUCAGAAAGAUUACCUAUCGCGUACAACUCCCCAUUUGUUUGUUCAAUUCCAACCGUCCGAGCAAAAUUAUCUUGACGAACGUGAUAAAUGUCGUGAGCUCCCCUUUUUUUUUAAAUCCAUCACUCGAAUCACGGAAGUAUAGUUGAUUAAAUGGAACGACGAAUUCAAGAGAAUAAAAAAAGGAGAAAAAAACCACAAUAAUAAUUAACAGUAGAAAUCAAUGAUGAUGUGUGUUGAAAACAAUUGCAUGCGAUACGCGUGUAUUGAAUUUUUUUUUGUCAAUUUUUUUUUAUUUAAUUGUAAAGUACCUAGGUUCCUCUCUUUCGCGUAUGAUUAUACCAUUCUUGAUGAAUCUUACAUGUAUACGUUUUUUUUUUAACUUUCUUAUUAAUGCAUUUUUUUGUUUUUCUUUUUCUUCGUGUUUAUGUAUAAAUAUGUAUUGUUAAGCCGCGCAAAGCCCGUUUGUUUAGAGUCCUUAUUCAGCAACAAACAGACGUUUGCAUCUGGCAUUACGCCCUCACACACAUUACCCACACACUCACAAAAUAUUCCAUUCAUCCAUUACCAAUUUAUUCAGUUGUCUCAUUCCAAAACUCACUCUUCCAGAAUUUUUUCUUUAUCCAAGUAAAUAAAAGAGUCGAGUUUCACACGUUUUAAUCAAUUAUUUAUCUCCAUUACUUUAAUAGUUAAAAGCUAAACCCUAAAGCUGCACUCUUGUUUUAUUUUAUAUCAUUCACCUAGGUGUAUUGUACAAAUAACUAGCAUUCAAUGCGUCUGUCUCAUGACAAUUAUUUGCUAAAAACCAUUACAUUCGUGACAUCGUGUAUAAAACUCUAUCGGAGUACAUGGUUACAUUGUUAUAUAUAUAAUUCUUUUUAUUUAUCCAAUAAUAGUAGUUAUCACUUUUUUUUUUGCUCUCUAGGCCACACAAUAACUGAUGCCAUUUCAUUUGUGGUUUAUUCGUUUAUUAUAACUUGAUCUCAUUGAAUUUUUCAUGGUUUUUACUUAAUGGAUACCGACUAAACGUGAUUUUUAAAGUGUCUGUUUUGUUAAUCGGGCGGGGCCCGAGAGGCCAGUUGGGUUCAUCCUCACUAGGCCGUUCAAUCCUCCCCCUGGUUUUUCCAUCGUAUUUAUACAUGCUCCACGUCACGCCCAACGUCGGGGCCUUCGUCACAUUGUUAAAAUGAGA